AAAAAAGAAAGAGAGAAACCUAAAGAGAAAAGAGGGAAAAACAGAGAAGAAGAGGGAAGAGAGGAAGGAGCCGAGCCGGCGCUAUUGGGUUCUCCGCCGCUGCUGGGUUCUCCGCCGCCGUCGCGUUGCCGUGCCGUCCGAAAGCCAGAACCGCAAGAGAAAGAACCGCGAAGAGAGAGGGAGAUCGCAUCAGCUCACCGCGAAGCCAGUGCAGUCGUCGUCCUCAUCGCGGGUCUUCACUCUUCACCAUCGCGUCUUGCCACCGCCGCCACCACUAAGCUUGCCGUCGUCGCCACUGAAGCUGAAGAGAGAGAGAGAGAGAGAAAGAGAGAGAGAGAGAGAGAGAGAGAGAGAGAGAGUUCGCGAAGAGAGGGAGUGCGCGCGCUCACGAAGGAGAAGAACGACGAAGAGUGAAGGAGAAGCAGAAGACAAUGAACGCAGGGGAGAAGGAGGAGGUCCGUUCUCGCACCGUCCUGCUCUGCUGCCGCCGCUGCCGUCGAUUGGGGUCAAGGCCGUCGCCGUCGCACCCUGUUCUCGUCGCCAUUAGGGUUUGCUGCUGCUGCCAUUGAUAGAUCUGCCGCUGGGAGGAGCCGAAUAGGGAGAGGAGGUCGCCAUCGCACACACCGCCACCAGUUACAACCGUCACCGAAACCAGGACAGAUUCACUGAUUCAAAGUUUGAAACAUAAAAGUGAAAUGAAAGAUGUGGGAAAUCAAAAGCUUCGCAAAAAUAUUAAGGAAGCUACAACAUUGGCAGCAGAUGAGUCUUCUAAGCAUAAAGUAAUGCUAGAAAUUUUUGAGUCCACUAUUAUUCAGUGUGAUUUGUAUUGAACAUAUGAGUCACUAUAAGUCAGCUCCACAACAAGGCCAGAAACGGGGUAGAAGUCGCCCCACAGGGUCUGGGAAGAAAUAGCAGCUGGCUUCUCUUGGUAAAUAUAUGUUUCAACUUUUAUUAUGUCUUGUGAUGAAUUGAAGUUAUUAUAAUUUAAUGUUGAAUUGUUACUGUUCUUGUUU